rnacentral:lncRNA from 1 species
AGAUGAGGUAUCUACUCCUUUUCAGUAGUGGAUCUUAGAUUCUGCUUGUUUCCAUCAUGUUUGUUAUAGAUAGGAGCUAUCUGAGUCCCUAGAGAGCAGUGAGGGCUCUGUUCAUCUAUCGGAUGGAUUGAGCUAUGCGAUCAAGGGCAUCAGGAUGGUCAACAUGGAGGUAUAUGAUGGUGCAGUAAGAAAGUUGAGUGAGGUCCGAUACAUACCUAAAAGAAA